rnacentral:sRNA from 1 species
UAAACCACCUGCACAGUUUAAAACAUU